rnacentral:rRNA from 1 species
CAGCAGCCGCGGUAAAACGUAGGUGGCAAGCGUUGUCCGGAAUUAUUGGGCGUAAAGGGCUCGCAGGCGGUUUCUUAAGUCUGAUGUGAAAGCCCCCGGCUCAACCGGGGAGGGUCAUUGGAAACUGGGAAACUUGAGUGCAGAAGAGGAGAGUGGAAUUCCACGUGUAGCGGUGAAAUGCGUAGAGAUGUGGAGGAACACCAGUGGCGAAGGCGACUCUCUGGUCUGUAACUGACGCUGAGGAGCGAAAGCGUGGGGAGCGAACAGGAUUAGAUACCCCUGUAGUCCCUGUCUCUUAUAC